CAGCAGCCGCGGUAAUACGUAGGUGGCAAGCGUUGUCCGGAAUUAUUGGGCGUAAAGGGCUCGCAGGCGGUUUCUUAAGUCUGAUGUGAAAGCCCCCGGCUCAACCGGGGAGGGUCAUUGGAAACUGGGAAACUUGAGUGCAGAAGAGGAGAGUGGAAUUCCACGUGUAGCGGUGAAAUGCGUAGAGAUGUGGAAGAACACCAGUGGCGAAGGCGACUCUCUGGUCUGUAACUGACGCUGAGGAGCGAAAGCGUGGGGAGCGAACAGGAUUAGAUACCCCGGUAGUCCCUGUCUCUUAUAC
rnacentral:rRNA from 1 species